GACGAACGCUGGCGGCGUGCUUAACACAUGCAAGUCGAACGGAAAGGCCCUGCUUUUGUGGGGUGCUCGAGUGGCGAACGGGUGAGUAACACGUGAGUAACCUGCCCUUGACUUUGGGAUAACUUCAGGAAACUGGGGCUAAUACCGGAUAGGAGCUCCUGCUGCAUGGUGGGGGUUGGAAAGUUUCGGCGGUUGGGGAUGGACUCGCGGCUUAUCAGCUUGUUGGUGGGGUAGUGGCUUACCAAGGCUUUGACGGGUAGCCGGCCUGAGAGGGUGACCGGCCACAUUGGGACUGAGAUACGGCCCAGACUCCUACGGGAGGCAGAAGUGGGGAAUAUUGCACAAUGGGCGGAAGCCUGAUGCAGCAACGCCGCGUGCGGGAUGACGGCCUUCGGGUGGUAAACCGCUUUCGCCUGUGACGAAGCGUGAGUGACGGUAAUGGGUAAAGAAGCACCGGCUAACUACGU
rnacentral:rRNA from 1 species